AUGAACGCUGGCGGCGUGCCUAAUACAUGCAAGUCGAGCGAACGGACGAGAAGCUUGCUUCUCUGAUGUUAGCGGCGGACGGGUAAGUAACACGUGGAUAACCUACCUAUAAGACUGGGAUAACUUCGGGAAACCGGAGCUAAUACCGGAUGAUAUUUUGAACCGCAUGGUUCAAAAGUGAAAGACGGUCUUGCUGUCACUUAUAGAAGGAUCCGCGCUGCAUUAGCUAGUUGGUAAGGUAACGGCUUACCAAGGCAACGAUGCAUAGCCGACCUGAGAGGGUGAUCGGCCACACUGGAACUGAGACACGGUCCAGACUCCUACGGGAGGCAGCAGUAGGGAAUCUUCCGCAAUGGGCGAAAGCCUGACGGAGCAACGCCGCGUGAGUGAUGAAGGUCUUCGGAUCGUAAAACUCUGUUAUUAGGGAAGAACAUAUGUGUAAGUAACUGUGCACAUCUUGACGGUACCUAAUCAGAAAGCCACGGCUAACUACGUG
rnacentral:rRNA from 1 species